rnacentral:tRNA from 1 species
GAAAUAUAUAAUAAUAUAAAGCUUCUAACUUUAUUAAAAACAAUUAAAUUAUGUUUAUAUUUCU